UUUCAAGCUAUCGGAUCAUGUUCAACCGUUUCCUUGAUUUUGAAAUCAAAACUUAUGUCGAUUCCGAAUUAGGAAAUGUAUAACUCGUACCGAGUAAUGACCUUAUUCGGUCCUUAAUAUCAUUCCGACUAUAAUUUGUACCUCAACUAAUAAAAAAGAGAGUACAAUUUGUAACCAAAGUGGCCUCACACUUUAGUUAUUUUAUGCUUCACCGUACGUACAAUGACGAGCAGAGUGCUCGUCCGGCGGCUAUUGAACCCGCAGCCGCGCCUCGUCCCCUUCCUCCGCCCCCUGACCACGGAGUCCGCCCACCCCAGCCUCCCGGCAGCCGGCUCCUCCGCCGCCGACCGAACGCAGCUCCUCCGGGUCUGCACCAUCCUCUUCCAGCAGCAGCACUCCCCUGACUCUCGCCUCCACGCCAAGCUCCUCUCGGCCGUCCACAGCCCUCACUCCCGUCCCCUUGCCGUCGCCGAGCUCUUCCUCCAAGUCUGCAACACCUUCCCGCUCUCAUGGCGCCCCGUCUACCGCUUCUACCAGUUCACCCGUACCCUCCCCGACUUUUCCCACUCCACUGUCACUCUCAACAAGAUGCUCGACGUCAUCGGCAAGUCCCGAAACAUCGAUCUCUUCUGGGAUGUCCUCAACGACAUGGCCCACCGCCGCCUUGUCAAUGACAAGACCUUUAAUAUCGCCCUCAAGACCUUGGCUCAGGUAAGGGAGCUGAACAAGUGCGUCCAGUUCUUCCACUUGAUGAAUGAGAACGGAUGGGAGUACAAGGUGGAGACUCUGAACAGAGUUGUUGAGACUCUCUGCCGGGCCAAGCUCGCCGAUGAGGCCAAAUUUCUGGUCUUUAAGCUGAAGGAAUGGGUUCAGCCGAACGAGGUUAUUUAUGGGUGGUUGAUCAAGGGGUUCUGUGAUGCGGGCGAUCUGAUUGAAGCAUCUCGGGUGUGGAAUCUCAUGGUCGAUCAAGGGUUCGAACCCGAUAUCCAUCCGAUCGAGUCGGUCAUGGAGACCCUUUUCAAGACUAAUCGAUACGGCGAGGCUCUGAAGCUUUUCCAGAUGAUGAGGGUAAGGACCAUGGAGAAAUUGGGUCUGUCCACUUAUCGGCUCGUGAUCGGGUGGCUGUGCAAGGGGGGGAAGGUAGCUCAAGCUUGUGCGGUGUUUGAUGAAUUGCACAAGAGAGGGAUCGAGGCUGACAAUCUGACAAUCUCAUCCCUUGUUUAUGGGCACCUUUCGAGGGGCCAGAUUCGAGAGGCUUACAGCCUUGUGCAAAGGGUCGAGGAGCCCGACAUUUCGGUUUACCAUGGGCUGAUCAAGGGUCUUUUGAAGCUGAAGAGAGCGAGUGAGGCGACUGAAGUCUUUCGGGAGAUGGCAAGGAGAGGGUGCGAGCCUAUAAUGCACACAUAUGUAAUGUUACUGCAGGGACAUUUUGGGAAGAGGGGAAGGAGAGGACCGGACUCGGCUGUGAACUUUGAUAGCAUCUUUGUCGGAGGGUUGGUCAAGGCCGGGAAGUCUCUCGAAGCGACCAAGUUUGUGGAGCGGGUGACGAGAGGGGGAGUAGAGGUGCCUCGGUUUGAUUAUAACAAGUUCUUGCAUCAUUAUUCAAACGAGGAUGGCGUGGUUAUGUUCGAAGAGGUGAGCCACAAGUUGAGAGAUGCGGGUAUGAUCGACUUGGCUUAUAUAUUCGAGAGGUACGGGCAGAAAAUGGCGACUCGUGACAGGAGGAGAGACAGAGGUCUCAUACCGCAAGGUCCAUGACUAAUGUUGUAGUAGUCCAAUUCGUGAAACAAACUGUCGCAUCGCUAAAGUGAAUACAUUUAGACGGAGUCGAAGUUAAAAUUUGCGUAGUCUCUUCUCUUUGUACUAUAUCACGAAUAGCAGCAACAUGCAAAACCCAAUUCAACUACCAAUACACUCGGCUUGAAGGUGCUGUCCAAACAGGAGGAAGCCCGGUUGAGUUUGCAGAAGGUAAAGUCCGGACAUUGAUAUCGAGAGGUAGAAGACGGUACUGAAUGUCGAGCUCUCUAAAAAUCUUGGCCAUCUCCUCAAUAAGAAUAGAUCUCCUGGUCCACCUCUCCAUGAUGUCUUGAUAGUUCAUCCUGUGCAACAACCAAACGGCCAUUCUCAACCUGUUGAGUUCUUCCACUUCCUUGAAUAUGAUCAUCGGCGCAGCGUACCAGUGAUCCUCCUUGUUCUCGACGUAGCUGCAAAAUAACAUUACGUUUCGAAUUGAUGUUUACACAGAAGAAACAGUGGGUGGUAAUGUACGAGUAAAAAUUGAUUGAAGUUGCGCUCACCUCAAUAUUCUUUG